AUUUCCAUGCAAUCACUGAAGUUAAGCAACAUUGAAUCUGGUUAGUACCUAGAUGGGUAACCACUUGGGAACAUCAGGUGCUGUAAG